UACGUAGGGGGCAAGCGUUGUCCGGAUUUAUUGGGCGUAAAGAGCUCGUAGGUGGUUCGGUAAGUCGGAUGUGAAAUCUCCAGGCUCAACCUGGAGGGGUCAUUCGAUACUGCCGUGACUAGAGGUCGGUAGGGGAGUGUGGAAUUCCUGGUGGAGCGGUGAAAUGCGCAGAUAUCAGGAGGAACACCAAUGGCGAAGGCAGCACUCUGGGACGUGACUGACGCUGAGACGCGAAAGCGUGGGGAGCAAACAGG
rnacentral:rRNA from 1 species